rnacentral:rRNA from 1 species
GACGAACCGUGCGAACGUUGUUCGGAAUCACUGGGCUUAAAGGGCGCGUAGGCGGGCGACCAAGUCGGAGGUGAAAGCCUGCAGCUCAACUGCAGAAGUGCCCCCGAUACUGGCCGCCUCGAGGGAGGUAGGGGCGUGCGGAACUUCCGGUGGAGCGGUGAAAUGCGUAGAUAUCGGAAGGAACACCGGUGGCGAAAGCGGCGCGCUGGACCUCUUCUGACGCUGAGGCGCGAAAGCCAGGGGAGCAAACGGG